UACGUAGGGUGCAAGCGUUGUCCGGAAUUAUUGGGCGUAAAGAGCUCGUAGGCGGCUUGUCGCGUCGGCUGUGAAAACCUGGGGCUCAACCCCGGGCCUGCAGCCGAUACGGGCAAGCUAGAAUUCGGUAGGGGAGACUGGAAUUCCUGGUGUAGCGGUGAAAUGCGCAGAUAUCAGGAGGAACACCAAUUGCGAAGGCAGCUCGCUGGAACGUAACUGACGCUGAGACGCGAAAGCGUGGGGAGCAAACAGG
rnacentral:rRNA from 1 species